GAUGAACGCUAGCUACAGGCUUAACACAUGCAAGUCGAGGGGAAACGGCAUUAAGUGCUUGCACUUUUUGGACGUCGACCGGCGCACGGGUGAGUAACGCGUAUCCAACCUUCCCAUGACUAAGGGAUAACCUGCCGAAAGGCAGACUAAUACCUUAUGGUCUUCACUGACGGCAUCAGAUGUGAAGUAAAGAUUUAUCGGUUAUGGAUGGGGAUGCGUCUGAUUAGCUUGUUGGCGGGGUAACGGCCCACCAAGGCAACGAUCAGUAGGGGUUCUGAGAGGAAGGGGCCGCACAAUGGAACUGAGACACGGUCCAAACUCCUACGGGAGGCAGCAGUGAGGAGUACUGGUCGAUGGGUGAGUGCCUGAACCAGCCAAUUAGCGUGCAGGAAGACGGCCCUAUGGGUUGUAAACUGCCUUUGGAUGGGGAUAAAGUCAAUCACGUGUGAUUGUUUGCAGGUACCAUACGAAUAAGGACCGGCUAAUUCCGUG
rnacentral:rRNA from 1 species